AUUCUCAGGGCGGGGUGAAAUUCCCCACCGGCGGUAGGUGGGCUAGCCCACAAGCCCGCGAGCGCAACACACCCCGUCAUAGGGUCUGUUGGUCAGCAGAUCUGGUCAAAUUCCAGAGCCGACGGUCAUAGUCCGGAUGGAAGAGAAU
rnacentral:ncRNA from 1 species